CGGACCGGCGCACGGUGCGUAACGCGUAUGCAACCUACCUUUAACAGGGGGAGUAACACUGAGAAAUUGGUACUAAUACCCCAUAAUAUCAUAGAAGGCAUCUUUUAUGGUUGAAAAUUCCGAUGGUUAGAGAUGGGCAUGCGUUGUAUUAGCUAGUUGGUGGGGUAACGGCUCACCAAGGCGACGAUACAUAGGGGGACUGAGAGGUUAACCCCCCACACUGGUACUGAGACACGGACCAG
rnacentral:rRNA from 1 species